rnacentral:rRNA from 1 species
CCGGGUGAGUAACGCGUGAGGAACCUGCCUCAAAGAGGGGGACAACAGUUGGAAACGACUGCUAAUACCGCAUAAGCCCACGGCUCGGCAUCGAGCAGAGGGAAAAGGAGCAAUCCGCUUUGAGAUGGCCUCGCGUCCGAUUAGCUAGUUGGUGAGGUAACGGCCCACCAAGGCGACGAUCGGUAGCCGGACUGAGAGGUUGAACGGCCACAUUGGGACUGAGACACGGCCCAG